ACGGGAGCAGCAGUGGGGAAUAUUGCACAAUGGGGGAAACCCUGAUGCAGCGACGCCGCGUGAGUGAAGAAGUAUUUCGGUAUGUAAAGCUCUAUCAGCAGGGAAGAAAAUGACGGUACCUGACUAAGAAGCCCCGGCUAACUACGUGCCAGCAGCCGCGGUAAUACGUAGGGGGCAAGCGUUAUCCGGAUUUACUGGGUGUAAAGGGAGCGUAGACGGCAAAGCAAGUCUGAUGUGAAAUGUUGGGGCUCAACCCCGAAACUGCAUUGGAAACUGUUUAGCUAGAGUGCAGGAGAGGUAAGUGGAAUUCCUAGUGUAGCGGUGAAAUGCGUAGAUAUUAGGAGGAACACCGGUGGCGAAGGCGGCUUACUGGACUGUAACUGACGUUGAGGCUCGAAAGCGUGGGGAGCAAACAGGAUUAGAUACCCUGGUA
rnacentral:rRNA from 1 species